UUUGCUUCAGCCCUCUGGCUCGCUACCUUUCCAACCCAAUUUUUGAACUCAGUCCCCCUCUCUCUGGGCUUGCCUAUGGUUGGGGACACAGUGACGCCCGCCUUGCACUACCGCGGGCUGUCGCGACUAUUU
rnacentral:snRNA from 1 species